rnacentral:rRNA from 1 species
UACGUAGGGUGCGAGCGUUAAUCGGAAUACUGGGCGUAAAGCGUGCGCAGGCGGUGAUGUAAGACAGAUGUGAAAUCCCCGGGCUCAACUUGGGAACUGCAUUUGUGACUGCAUCGCUGGAGUGCGGCAGAGGGGGAUGGAAUUCCGCGUGUAGCAGUGAAAUGCGUAGAUAUGCGGAGGAACACCGAUGGCGAAGGCAAUCCCCUGGGCCUGCACUGACGCUCAUGCACGAAAGCGUGGGGAGCAAACAGG